UCUACAUUCUAGAAUGUGGAGGGAACUUAGGCUGUGCUAUUUCCUCUUCAAACACCCCCUAGCACGUUCUCAUCCUCCUGAUUCCGUUCUCCCUGAUCAACUCUUGUCUUCACACUUGCGUGCAGGAGUCCCAUAGAAAGGGGCUAAACCAACAUGGCAGUAAGAUGACUCCCAAUGAAAUUCUGCUCUACUCACAGAUCUGUACCUCACGCAACCCUUAUCAGAGAAGCUUCUGCAGUAGAGAGUAAUUAACAUAGACACCCACAACUGGAAAAUUGACAGAGAGUGAAAGACUUUGGAGCACCCAAUCCUGAAUGGGAUGGCUUCAUCAAAACCUCAAGGAUCACAUUCGAUGCAGAAGAGGAGGUUGUGUGAUCAGUGCAUUAUCUCAACAACAGAUAACCAGAUUGGACCAGCCACUGUGUACAGAUUUGUGAGUCUGUGAAAACCCAGUCAAGACAAGGUCUGAGAUGACUACGUACACAGGCAAGCAUAUGUGUGAGGUACAGGUGAUUGUAAGCUGCCAUCUGGAUACAGGACACUGAUCUCAGUUCCUCUGCAAAAGCAACAAGUGUCCUUAAUGGCUACCCCAUCCCUCCAGCCCUUUAUUGAGUAUUUAAAAUCAAAUAUUACAUUCAAAUGAGUUCCUAAAAUUCUGAUGAUGUAAAUUUCAUUGUCUAAUAAAUUUUGCCAUCUCCUUAAAA